UGGAAGUAGUGCUGAAGUCCAACUAAAGAUACACUCAAGAUUAUUAGAUUGUGCUAAAGUGCAACUAUUGCAAGUAUAUGUCAGGCACAUUUAAAUAU